rnacentral:misc_RNA from 1 species
ACGAGAAACACUCCAAUUGGUGGGGUGUGAGCCGUGAGGGGUUCUCGUCUGUAGUGGACGAGGGCCGGGUGCACAACAACAGGCAAUCGCCAGACACACUAUUGGGCCCUGAGACAACACUCGGCCGACUUCGGUUGAAGUGGUGUCCCUCCAUCUUGGUGGUGGGGUGUGGUGUUUGAGUAUUGGAUAGUGGUUGCGAGCAUC